rnacentral:rRNA from 1 species
GACGAAGUAGAAAAGGGCGCAAGGUGGAUGCCUUGGCUCACAGAGGCGAUGAAGGACGUGAUAAGCUGCGAUAAGCCCGGGGUAGGUGCAAAUAACCCUUGAUCCCGGGAUUUCCGAAUGGGACAACCUGUAUGUAUGAAGUACAUACAUCCUUGACCAAGUCGAGGAGGCUAACGCGGGGAACUGAAACAUCUUAGUACCCGCAGGAAGAGAAAACAACAGUGAUUCCCCCAGUAGUGGCGAGCGAACGGGGAAGAGCCCAAACCGUGUGUGUGGCGACGCACAUACGGGGUAGUAGGACCGCGCCGUGGCACGGUGAUCGCGAGGGGAACUGCCUGGAAAGACAGACCAUAGAGGAUGACAGUUCCGUACCCGAAGCGUAAUCCGGCCUAGCGGUAUCCUGAGUAACGCGGGACACGAGAAAUCCUGCGCGAAUCCGCCGGGACCAUCCGGUAAGGCUAAAUACUCCUGUGAGACCGAUAGCGUACCAGUACCGUGAGGGAAAGGUGAAAAGCACUUCGACAAGAAGAGUGAAACAGUACCUGAAACCUUGCGCCUACAAGCGGUCGGAGCCUGCUUAGCAGGUGACGGCGUGCCUUUUGCAUAAUGAACCUACGAGUUGCCAUCUCUGGCGAGGUUAAGGCGCUCAGCGCCCGAGCCGCAGUGAAAGCGAGCCUGAACAGGGCGUAUAGUCAGAGGGGGCAGACGCGAAACCAAGUGAUCUACACUUGGCCAGGGUGAAGUUCCGGUAACACGGAAUGGAGGCCCGAACCAAUAAGCGUUGAAAAGCUUCUGGAUGAGCCGAGUGUAGGAGUGAAAGGCCAAUCAAACUUGGAGAUAGCUCGUACUCCCCGAAAGGCAUUUAGGUGCCGCGUGCAGAGAUUACCAUGAGAGGUAGAGCGACCGAUAGGAUGCGAGGGCUUCACCGCCUAUCAAGUCCUGACGAACUCCGAAUGCUCAUGGUCCGCAUCUGUGCAGUAAGGGGGCGGGUGCUAAGGUCCGUCCCCGAGAGGAGAAGAAUCCGGACUGCCGUCUAAGGCCCCGAAAUUCUGUCUAAGUUAGUCUAACGAAGUGUGGUUCCCGUGACAGCUAGGAUGUUGGCUUGGAAGCAGCCAUUCAUUCAAAGAGUGCGUAACAGCUCACUAGUCGAGGGACCGUGCAUGGAUAAUAAUCGGGUAUUAAGACAGAUGCCGAAGACGCAGGAUAGUAUUAGAGAAAGUAUCGGUAGGGGAGCAUUCCAUAUGCGUUGAAUGGUGCGGAUGACCUAUCCUGGAGCGUAUGGAAAAGCAAAUGUAGGUAUAAGUAACGACAAGGAGGGUGAGAUUCCCUCCCGCCGCAAGACCAAGGUUUCCCGGGCAAUGCCAAUCACCCCGGGGUCAGUCGGGUCCUAAGCCUCAGCCGAACGGCGAGGGCGAUGGCAGAAACGGUUAAUAUUCCGUUACUACCCUUGUGAGCGAUGUGGAGACGGAGGUGUGACACCACCGCGGGGCGACGGAAGUCCCCGUUAAAGAGUGUAGGUUAUGAGGAGGGCAGGCAAAUCCACCCUCUGAGCCGAACUUGACAGUACGGAGUUCCCUUCGGGGAACACUGAUAGUGUGGGUAAUCAGACUCCCGAGAAAAUCCGCUAAGCAUAUCAUGAGUGGUACCCGUACCGCAAACGGACACACGUGGUCGUGUAGAACAUACUGAGGCGUUGGACGAUUCAUGGUUAAGGAAUUAGGCAAAUUGACCCCGUAACUUCGGGAUAAGGGGUCCUCGUGAGAGCGAGGCGCAGAGAAUAGGUCCAGGCAACUGUUUAACAAAAACACAGGGCUGUGCAAACUCGAAAGAUGAGGUAUACAGCCUGACACCUGCCCGGUGCCGGAAGGUUAAGAGGAGACGUCAGCCUUUAGGUGAAGCGUUGAAUUGAAGCCCCGGUAAACGGCGGCCGUAA